rnacentral:rRNA from 1 species
UGGGGAAUUGUUCGCAAUGGGCGCAAGCCUGACGACGCAACGCCGCGUGGAGGAUGAAGGUCUUCGGAUUGUAAACUCCUGUUGAUCGGGACGAAAAGCUUCGACCUAACACGUCGAAGACUGACGGUACCGGUUGAGGAAGCCACGGCUAACUCUGUGCCAGCAGCCGCGGUAAGACGUAGGGAGCGAGCGUUGUCCGGAUUCAUUGGGCGUAAAGAGCGCGUAGGCGGCCGUGCAAGUCGGUUGUGAAAUCCCGGGGCUCAACCCCGGGACUGCGUCCGAUACUGCACGGCUCGAGGCAGGUAGGGGAGAGUGGAAUUCCCGGUGUAGCGGUGAAAUGCGCAGAUAUCGGGAGGAACACCGGUGGCGAAGGCGGCUCUCUGGACCUGUCCUGACGCUGAGGCGCGAAAGCUAGGGGAGCGAA